rnacentral:rRNA from 1 species
UGGGGAAUAUUGGACAAUGGGGGCAACCCUGAUCCAGCCAUGCCGCGUGAGUGAAGAAGGCCUUAGGGUUGUAAAGCUCUUUCAACGGUGAAGAUGAUGACAGUAGCCGUAGAAGAAGCCCCGGCUAACUCCGUGCCAGCAGCCGCGGUAAUACGGAGGGGGCAAGCGUUGUUCGGAAUUACUGGGCGUAAAGGGCGCGUAGGCGGUCUGUUGCGUCAGGUGUGAAAGCCCUGGGCUCAACCUGGGAGGUGCACUUGAUACGGGCGGACUAGAAUCCGAGAGAGGGUGGUGGAAUUCCCGGUGUAGCGGUGAAAUGCGUAGAUAUCUGGAGGAACAUCAGUGGCGAAGGCGACUCCCUGGUCAAUAACUGACGCUCAUGUGCGAAAGUGUGGGUAGCGAACAGGAUUAGAUACCCUGGUAGUCCACACCGUAAACGCUGUCUACUAGCUGUGUGUGAAUUUAAUUCGUGCGUAGCGAAGCUAACGCGAUAAGUAGACCGCCUGGGGAGUACGGCCGCAAGGUUA